UGAAUCACUUCUCUCUGGCUUGACUGAAUCACUGGUUUUAUCUCUUUACUAAUGAGAGUCUGAAUCACUUCUCUCUGGCUUGACUGAAUCACUGGUUCUAUCUCUUUACUAAUGAGAGUCUGAAUCACUUCUCUCUGGCUUGACUGAAUCACUGGUUUUAUCUCUUUACUAGUGAGAGUCUGAAUCACUUCUCUCUGGCUUGACUGAAUCACUGGUUUUGACUCAAGACCAUAUUAAAAUCAAACCACUGAGUUUGAGUCCUUACCACCACCGGUCUUUGCAUCCAUUUUCUUGUUUUUUUUUCAGCCUGAAUAACUGUGUUCUACUCCUUUUCUCCAGCCUAUAUCAAUUGUUCUGAGUCGUUGAAUAUACUGAAUCACAUGGUUUUACCUGUCGUUUGAACUCAUGCUGAAUUUAUUAUUUGCGUCGACUGCUCUCUAGAGAAAGCAGGGGUUGUUGUCCUUUAUCAAAGUAGAGGACAGCAUGAACAUCUUUGAUACACUCCACAGUAUGUCCAGUCAUGUUUAGUUUGUAUUUUUGAUAUUUUACUUCAUGUGAAGUUCACCUGAGUAUCCUCUGCCUCUCUGUAGUGGUAUUAUAUGGUGAUUGUGGCUAUAGAUUGUUGGGACAUUAUGAAACACUGGGCAAAGGAUUUUUUCUUGCAGGUGUUACAUAAGACUAAGCCUCCUGACAUAGUAAAUCAAAGUGAGCUGUAUGUGGCAAAUCUCUCCUGAAGGUGAACUGUACAUAUGUAGAUCUACACGUCCCCGUGUGUGCUGUCAGGCAGGCUAUGAGUUUAGCAUGAAUUCCAAAGAUAAUUGGUAGAAAUUGUUUACUGUUUUUGCUGGGGUGUUAGUGCUGGUUUCUGUUCAAGACCCCUCUCCCCAAAUGAGCUGACAUUCACUUCACUGCACAUUUCAUCACUGUCACAGACAGUUCACACUAAAAUAAAGACAGCUACCUUGAAAGUAUGUCUUAGCAGGAGAGUACCAAGUUGUUAUCCUAAUUGUUGGUUAUAUUUAUAUAGGACAAAAUGCUUGUGAUGCCAUGUUUUUGUACAGUUUUAUGUACAUGCAAGUGAAGCUUUUUAAAACGUAUGACAAAAGCCGAUGGCAUAUAAACAUUGUAAUGUGUUUCUUGAGAUGUGCACAUCUUGCCUUGGUUGGAUUGAUCUUUGCUGAGUCAGUGUGAAUGUGGCCGUUCUAUGCCUGCACCGUAGUCCUUCACUGGCUCCCUGCUCCUGAGGGCUUUAUCAGAACUUCUGUUUAUCGUGAACAGUGGAUUGUCGGAUCCUACCUGUUUGUUCAAUUCCUAUGUGUUCUGUUUCGUUCUGUUUUCGCAUGUUAAGGAAAAAUCCCUUGUAAUAAGUCCUCAAGAACUUUGUAAUAAAAUGAGUCCUGUAAAAAC
ensembl:lncRNA